rnacentral:rRNA from 1 species
CGUAGGGUGCAAGCGUUGUCCGGAAUUAUUGGGCGUAAAGAGCUCGUAGGCGGUUUGUCGCGUCGGCUGUGAAAACCUGAGGCUCAACCUCAGGCCUGCAGUCGAUACGGGCAGACUAGAGUCCGGCAGGGGAGACUGGAAUUCCUGGUGUAGCGGUGAAAUGCGCAGAUAUCAGGAGGAACACCGGUGGCGAAGGCGGGUCUCUGGGCCGGAACUGACGCUGAGGAGCGAAAGCGUGGGAGCGAACAGGAUU